GCGAAAUUCCUUGUCGGGUAAGUUCCGACCCGCAUGAAUGGCGUAACGAUCUGGGCGCUGUCUCGGCUGGGGACCCGGUGAAAUUGUGGUACCGGUCAAGACGCCGGUUACCCGUGGUGGGACGGAAAGACCCCGUGGAGCUUUACUGUAGCCUGAUGUUGGAUCUUGGCGCGACAUGUACAGGAUAGGUGGGAGGCUGUGAAGCCGAGGCGCCAGCUUCGGUGGAGCCGCCCUUGGGAUACCACCCUUGUCGUGUUAGGGUUCUAACUGCGCACAUGCGCAGGACAGCGUCUGGUGGGCAGUUUGACUGGGGCGGUCGCCUCCUAAAAGGUAACGGAGGCGUGCGAAGGUCACCUCAGGGCGUAUGGAAAUCGCCCGCAAGAGCGCAAGGGUAUAAGGUGGCCUGACUGCGAGAGUGACGGCUCGAGCAGACACGAAAGUGGGCCCUAGUGAUCCGGUGGUUCCGUGUGGAAGGGCCAUCGCUCAACGGAUAAAAGCUACCCCGGGGAUAACAGGCUGAUCUCGCCCGAGAGUUCCCAUCGACGGCGAGGAUUGGCACC
rnacentral:rRNA from 1 species